rnacentral:tRNA from 1 species
UCCCCUGUGGCUCAGUUGGUAGAGCAUGGUGUUUGCAACGCCAGCAUGGUGUGUGCAACGCCAGGGUUGUGGGUUCGAUUCCCACAGGGGGCC